UUUAUGGAGAGUUUGAUCCUGGCUCAGGAUGAACGCUGGCGGCGUGCCUAAUACAUGCAAGUCGAGCGAACGGACGAGAAGCUUGCUUCUCUGAUGUUAGCGGCGGACGGGUGAGUAACACGUGGAUAACCUACCUAUAAGACUGGGAUAACUUCGGGAAACCGGAGCUAAUACCGGAUAAUAUUUUGAACCGCAUGGUUCAAAAGUGAAAGACGGUCUUGCUGUCACUUAUAGAUGGAUCCGCGCUGCAUUAGCUAGUUGGUAAGGUAACGGCUUACCAAGGCAACGAUGCAUAGCCGACCUGAGAGGGUGAUCGGCCACACUGGAACUGAGACACGGUCCAGACUCCUACGGGAGGCAGCAGUAGGGAAUCUUCCGCAAUGGGCGAAAGCCUGACGGAGCAACGCCGCGUGAGUGAUGAAGGUCUUCGGAUCGUAAAACUCUGUUAUUAGGGAAGAACAUAUGUGUAAGUAACUGUGCACAUCUUGACGGUACCUAAUCAGAAAGCCACGGCUAACUACGUGCCAGCAGCCGCGGUAAUACGUAGGUGGCAAGCGUUAUCCGGAAUUAUUGGGCGUAAAGCGCGCGUAGGCGGUUUUUUAAGUCUGAUGUGAAAGCCCACGGCUCAACCGUGGAGGGUCAUUGGAAACUGGAAAACUUGAGUGCAGAAGAGGAAAGUGGAAUUCCAUGUGUAGCGGUGAAAUGCGCAGAGAUAUGGAGGAACACCAGUGGCGAAGGCGACUUUCUGGUCUGUAACUGACGCUGAUGUGCGAAAGCGUGGGGAUCAAACAGGAUUAGAUACCCUGGUAGUCCACGCCGUAAACGAUGAGUGCUAAGUGUUAGGGGGUUUCCGCCCCUUAGUGCUGCAGCUAACGCAUUAAGCACUCCGCCUGGGGAGUACGACCGCAAGGUUGAAACUCAAAGGAAUUGACGGGGACCCGCACAAGCGGUGGAGCAUGUGGUUUAAUUCGAAGCAACGCGAAGAACCUUACCAAAUCUUGACAUCCUUUGACAACUCUAGAGAUAGAGCCUUCCCCUUCGGGGGACAAAGUGACAGGUGGUGCAUGGUUGUCGUCAGCUCGUGUCGUGAGAUGUUGGGUUAAGUCCCGCAACGAGCGCAACCCUUAAGCUUAGUUGCCAUCAUUAAGUUGGGCACUCUAAGUUGACUGCCGGUGACAAACCGGAGGAAGGUGGGGAUGACGUCAAAUCAUCAUGCCCCUUAUGAUUUGGGCUACACACGUGCUACAAUGGACAAUACAAAGGGCAGCGAAACCGCGAGGUCAAGCAAAUCCCAUAAAGUUGUUCUCAGUUCGGAUUGUAGUCUGCAACUCGACUACAUGAAGCUGGAAUCGCUAGUAAUCGUAGAUCAGCAUGCUACGGUGAAUACGUUCCCGG
rnacentral:rRNA from 1 species